AAUUGGAGGGCAAGUCUGGUGCCAGCAGCCGCGGUAAUUCCAGCUCCAAUAGCGUAUAUUAAAGUUGUUGCAGUUAAAAAGCUCGUAGUUGAAUUUCGGGAUCAAUAUUUCGGUCAUGCCGUUGGUAUGCACUGUUAUCAUUGAUUUCUCACCUUCUAAAGAACCGUAAUGCCAUUAAUUUGGUGUUACGGGGAAUUAGGACUGUUACCUUGAAAAAAUUAGAGUGUUUAAAGCAGGCUCACGCUUGAAUACAUUAGCGUGGAAUAAUGAAAUAGGACAUCCGAUUCUAUUUUGUUGGUUUCUAGGAUCGAUGUAAUGAUUAAUAGGGAUAGUUGGGGGCAUUAGUAUUCAAUUGUCAGAGGUGAAAUUCUUGGAUUUAUUGAAGACUAACUACUGCGAAAGCAUUUGCCAAGGAUGUUUUCAUUAAUCAAGAACGAAAGUUAGGGGAUCGAAGACGAUCAGAUACCGUCGUAGUCUUAACCAUAAACUAUGCCGACUAGGGAUCGGAUGAUGUUAAUUUUUUAAUGACUCAUUCGGCGCCUUACGGGAAACCAAAGUGU
rnacentral:rRNA from 1 species